UACGUAGGUGGCAAGCGUUGUCCGGAUUUACUGGGCGUAAAGGGCUCGUAGGCGGUUUGUCGCGUCGGGAGUGAAAACACCGGGCUUAACUCGGUGCUUGCUUUCGAUACGGGCAGACUAGAGGUAUGCAGGGGAGAACGGAAUUCCUGGUGUAGCGGUGAAAUGCGCAGAUAUCAGGAGGAACACCGGUGGCGAAGGCGGUUCUCUGGGCAUUACCUGACGCUGAGGAGCGAAAGUGUGGGGAGCGAACAGG
rnacentral:rRNA from 1 species